rnacentral:rRNA from 1 species
UGUGCAAAGGUAGCAUAAUCAUUAGUCUUGUAAUUUAGGACUGGAAUGAAUGGUUUAACCAAAGUGAGCUUGUCUUUUAAUAAUAUUUUGAAUUUUAUAUUUUAGUAAUAAAGCUAAAAUUAAUUUGAGGGACGAGAAGACCCUAUCAAGUUUUACAAAUUUAUAUUAUUUUUCAAUUUAAUAAACUAUUUGUUUAGCUGGGGCAGCUUAUAGAAUAAAUUCUAUUUUUUUAUUGUAAUCUUAAAUUUUGUUUUAUCCUAAAUUUUAGAAUUAAAAAUAAAUUACUGUAGGGAUAACAGCAUAAUUUCUUUAAAGAGUUCUUAUCGCAGAAGAAGUUUGUGACCUCGAUGUUGGAUUAAGAGACCUACUCAACGCAAAAGUUAAAUUAGGAAGUCUGUUCGACUUUUAAAUUCUUCCAUGAUCUGAGUUCAAAUCGA